CUUUCAUUCUUUUUGUAUGAACAUACCAAGAAUCCGGGGGCGAUUGGACAGGAUCCUUAAGAGAAAUUUCUCAAUUCUGCAUCUCUGGUUCCUUUCAUUUGCAAAUCAGAGCAUUUCAUGGUUGAAACCAUCGUUGUCAUCCUAUCACCGUCGGAGUUGAUCCCUAUCAAAUCGAAGUUGCACAUUCCUUCUUUCCCAGUUUCACAGGACCGAGUUCCGACAAUAUUGUGACAACACUCUGCAGGAUGAUGAUGACAACUUCAAAGGUGGUUCAAUGGCAGCACUCUAACAAUCAAUUGCGGCUACAUCCCAACUGUCU